GUUUGUUUCCUAAUACCGAUAGUUUUUUUAAUUUGAUCAAAAAGAAAAAAUCAAACAUCAACUGUAUUGACAGCGACUAUAUCAAAAAAAGCUAUACCCAAAGCAACAACAGUAAAAGGAAUUUAAUAAACAAAGAAAACAGUAAAAAUAAGGAUUUUUUUUUUCCAGUAAAAUAUGAAUAUAUACCCAAAUUAUGCUCUAAAGCUUCUUUCUUAAAAAAAAAUAAUGUAAUGGAAAAAGCUAAAAAUAAUAUUAAUGUUAAUUUAUUACAUAAUAAUCCCAGCGUAGAUGAUAAUGAACGAUAUGAGCGUAAGAUUGAUCAUUCUGAUAAUGUGUCUUUUUUAAAAUAUAAUCAAGAUAUUAAAAAAUAUAACAAAUUGGAUAUAUCAGAGAAUAAAAACAUAUUUAAUUAUGUAAAACACAAUGAAAACAACAGUAGUGACUUCAGUAUCAGCAACAAAUUAAAAAAAGGAAACAAAAAGCCAUAUAUAAGUGAUAUACAAAAAGUGGAUAUUUUAUGUGACGAAAAAAAUUCGAACUCUAGUGAUAGCAAAAUUAUUAACAAAUGUAAAACAAUAAAUGAUAAUAUGUUAAAAACAAAUGAAAUUAAUAUAAUAAAUCAAGAAAGACAUUACAAAUUGAAUGAAACUAUGACAAAUGCCAGCAUAUCACUAGAUAAUAGCUACAGCACUAAUACCAGUGAUAACAAUAAAUAUAACAAAAACAAUAACAACAACAACAACAACAACAACAAAUUAUUGGAUAAAAUAAAAUUUGAAUUUCCUGUUAACAAUGUUUAUAAAGAAAAAAAUUCAAAUUAUUUUCAAUGUGUUACUACUACUACUACUACUACUAAUACUAAUAAUAAUAAUAAUAAUAAUAAUAAUAAUAAUAAAGACGAAAAAAUUGAUUAUUUAAACAAAAACGAAGGCAGUACUAAUAUAAAAAAUAAACAAAUAGUUUCUCACAUUUUUAAAAAUAAUAACCUACAGCUAAAGAAAAACAUCAACCCAAUAUUAUACAAUACGGAAAGCAAUUCUCGUACUGAUAUAAAUAAAAGUAGUUAUAAUAGGGAGAAGAAUAAACAAAACGGAAAAAACAAAAUAAUCACCCAACCAAAUGCUUUGGAUAGCCAUUUAUUUAAAGUAGAGAAAAAAAAUGCAGUAAAUGAUAUUUAUAAAAAUGUUAACUCUAAAAUAAUAGAACCACAAAAAGUAGUAAAAAACUUGGUCAAUUCGUUCGGUAAUAAAAAUAAGAUAGUUAAAGAUCCUAAUGAAAACAAAUUAAUUGAUUGUGAAUUGGAUAUACACAAAAAUAAAUUAAUGAAAAAAAAACAUGGAAUAAAUAAAAACAUUUCAAUUUUAGAAGAUAAUACAGACAACAGUAUUGUUUCAAAUUUAAAAAUAGGUAAAUAUAAAAUUAUCGGUAAUGGUAGUAAUGAUAGUGAAAUUGGUGUGGAGAUAGAAAAAAGAAAAACAUAUUCUGAAUUGUAUGAAAGAGCUAACAAAAAAAACGAAAUAGGUUAUAGUAAAGUGGGAUGUAAUAACUUGGACGUGCAGAGUGAGAAAAAAAAAAUAGUAAACAUGUUGGAACUAAGAGCCAACGAUGUGUCACAUAAAAAAGUGUUACAAACAAAUACGAAGUUAGUAAAAGUUAGUGAAUAUAAUUUAAAGAAAAAAAUAGAUCUAAAUAUUUUAGAACUUAAUAAAAGACAUGUUAAAGAGAUGAUGGAAGUUUUAAAAAAAAUAGAAAUGGUUGAAAAAUACAAUAAAGAUAUGAAUAAAUCUAUUUUAAAGAAAAAUGGGUACGUGGCAGUAAUUGAUGAAAUAAAAAAGGAUAUGGUGAAAUGGGGAGGGUUAGUCGGGAAGGAAACGAAGGCAGUCGGGCAUAUAGAAGAAGUAGCCGGGCAUAUAGAAGAAGUAGCUGAGCAUAUAGAAGAAGUAGCUGAGCAUAUAGAAGAAGUAGCCGGACAUAUAGAAGAAGUAGCCGGGCAUAUAGAAGAAGUAGCCGGGCAUAUAAAAGGGGUAAGCGGACAGUCGAGUCGAGCAACACAUAAUAAAGAUAACAAAAUGAGUGAUAAUAAUACAACAAUGAAACUAUUGUGUAACAAAAAAAUAAAAAAAAAAGAAUACAAAGAAAAAAAAGAAAGCAGCAAAAAAGAAGGCAAAGAAAAAGAGCUAGUACAGAAUAAAUUAUACAAAUUAAGAAAUCGUUUAGAUUUGCUUAACUUAUCUUUUAAUGAAGUCGUUUAUUUUAGUAAAAUAGAAAGCAUAUUUUGGUAUUUAUACAUGAAAAAAAUGUUAACUAGGAACACACUAAAAGUUGAUGAAUAUUGCAAUAUAUUAAAAAAUAAAAUGGACACACCAAUAAAAAUAAAUUAUAUUAUGAAAUAUAUAAAUAAUAAAAGGUUUCAAGAUUAUAGUGUAUUUAAUUUAAAAAAUUUUGAUUAUAAAACUGGACUUUUAAAAAAAUUAUUUGCUUUAUUAAAAUCAUAUCCUAUAGACUAUGAAAAAAACAAUGGUUGUUUUUAUAUGCUAAACCCUGAAAAAAAUAUAAUGUUAAGAAAUUCGAAACAUAAUAUGAUGAUAAGUAAUAAAAGAAAUAGUAGUUUAAAAUUGAUGGCUGAAAUAAAUAAAAAUUUUAAAAAUAAUUAUUUUUUGUUAGAAAAGAUAUUUAUUCCUAAAGAUGCUUUUUUUUUAGCUAAAGAAUCAGAAGACAUUGGAUUAAAAGAUAAAUCAAAUAAUGUAAUAUAUAUACAUAAUGCUUUAGCAAAUGAUAUGAAAGAAGAUAUAAAUGAACAGGCAGUAUUUGAACAAAUGUAUUCUUCGCCUCCUCCUUUUAUGAGUGAUUGUUAUAGAUAUAUGCAAAAAAAAAGAAUACAGAAUAAAAUUAGGAAAUUUAAAGAAUCUAUAUUGCAUUAUUACGAGUUUGAUAGUGUGCAGGAUUUUUUUGAAGCUUUACUUCUUUUUAAUCAUAAAUGUAAAAAAUUUCGAUUGGAAAAACGAAAUUCAUUUGUUCGAAAUUUUCCAAAAACCGUAUCAACUGACAUGAUUAGUAAUAAUUCAGUUUUUUUGGAUACUGUUCAUACAAAUACGUCAAAUUCGUUAAGUGAUUCAUUUAGUAGCAAUAUGUCAGAUUUAUCAGUCAAUGGAAUUAAUGACAGAUUAAGCACGUCAAAUAGUAUGGAUAAUAGUAUGGAUAAUAGUAUGUUAAAUAUACCUGUUAAAAUUGGUGGAAAAACAGAUGAGUCGAAAUUUAUUAACACUAGAUGGUGCAACCAAGUUAGUACACCUAGUCCUAGUGGUUCUUUGAAAAUAGCUUAUGAUAUAUAUGUCAAUUAUAUGAAUAAAAAAAAAGAAAAAAAAGCAUACUCAUAUGAUAACAUAAAAAUGGGUAUGGAUGAUACAAGGAAAAAUUAUUCAAAUUUAAAAAACGACGUUUCAAAAUUAAGAUAUUUACGAGGAAAAGGUGUAAUAAACGUGGACGCAAAUGGUAGU
ensembl:lncRNA